rnacentral:rRNA from 1 species
CACGUAGGGGGCGAGCGUUGUCCGGAUUCAUUGGGCGUAAAGGGCGCGCAGGCGGCUCGGAAAGUCGGGUGUGAAAACUCGGGGCUCAACCCCGGGCGUGCAUCCGAUACUGCCGGGCUUGAGGCAGGUAGGGGAGAUCGGAAUUCCUGGUGUAGCGGUGAAAUGCGCAGAUAUCAGGAGGAACACCGGUGGCGAAGGCGGAUCUCUGGGCCUGUCCUGACGCUGAGGCGCGAAGGUCAGGGGAGCAAACGGG